rnacentral:rRNA from 1 species
UAGGGAAUCUUCCACAAUGGACGAAAGUCUGAUGGAGCAACGCCGCGUGAGUGAAGAAGGGUUUCGGCUCGUAAAACUCUGUUGUUAAAGAAGAAAUAUCUGAGAGUAACUGUUCAGGUAUUGACGGUAUUUAACCAGAAAGCCACGGCUAACUACGUGCCAG